rnacentral:lncRNA from 1 species
AUACUUCUUCGCCCGUAACAUCCACCCGCAGCUAGGACAAAGACAUUUUACCUUGAGGAAUUUGCUGCAGCUCUACAACGUAGCAUAAUCAAAAGAAUUUCUCACAGCUGCUACGUCCAACAACAAUUUCAGCUCCUUUUUACUGCUAAAUGUUUGAUUUACCUGAAAAGUAGUUCCGUCGGAGAAGGUGUGGUUGGUUUGUGCUCCCAAUUCGCACUCUUCUCCCCCUUCUUCAGAGAAAAUUGGAUCUUUCAAUUCCAUUGAAUCAUCUUCCGAAUCCAUUGGAUUAACAUCCAA